rnacentral:rRNA from 1 species
GAUGAACGCUAGCGGCAGGCCUAACACAUGCAAGUCGAGGGAGAAGCCCUUUCGGGGGCAGAAACCGGCGCACGGGUGCGUAACGCGUAUGCAACCUACCUUUCACAGGGGGAUAGCCCGAAGAAAUUUGGAUAAAUACCCCAUAAUAUUAUUGGAUGGCAUCAUUUGAUAAUUAAAACUGCGGUGGUGAAAGAUGGGCAUGCGUCCUAUUAGCUAGUUGGAGUGGUAACGGCACCCCAAGGCUACGAUAGGUAGGGGUCCUGAGAGGGAGAUCCCCCACACUGGUACUGAGACAGGGACCAGACUCCUACGGGAGGCAGCAGUGAGGAAUAUUGGUCAAUGGUCGGAAGACUGAACCAGCCAUGCCGCGUGCAGGAAGAAUGCCUUAUGGGUUGUAAACUGCUUUUAGAUGGGAAGAAUAAGGCGUACGUGUACGUUGAUGACGGUACCAUAUGAAUAAGCAUCGGCUAACUCCGUG